CUUGAACGCUGGCGGCAGGCCUAACACAUGCAAGUCGAACGAGUGGCGGACGGGUGAGUAAUGUCUGGGAAACUGCCUGAUGGAGGGGGAUAAAUACUGGAAACGGUAGCUAAUAACGCAUACCAUCAGAUGUGCCCAGAUGGGAUUAGCUUGUUGGUGGGGUAAAGGCGAACCAAGGCGACGAUCCCUAGCUGUUCUGCGAGGAUGACCAGCCACACUGGAACUGAGACACGGUCCGGACUCCGACGGCAGGCAUCAGUGGGGAAUAUUGCACAAUGGGCGCAAUCCUGAUGCAGCCAUGCCGCGUGUAUGAAGAAGGCCUUCGGUUUGUAAAGUACUUUCAGCGGGGAGGCGUUACCCGCAGAAGAAGCACCGGCUAACUCCGUGCCAGCAGCCGCGGUAAUAC
rnacentral:rRNA from 1 species